AAAAAAUUUUUCAUAUAUUUGAUACAAGCGUUUAUAGUUCUGAAUUUUGAUUGUUUUUCAAAUCUAUAGUUGAUACAAGCAUGCCCUCCUGCACAAUGCACAAAUGUGAAUUUGAGGGAAGUAUAUAGAUGCUAUUCUUAAUUCACAGAAAACCUGAGAACAUCUAAUCACUGUCACUGGCUUCUUUACACAGUAUCUCAAGAUCAGAAAGAAAGCAAUUUGGCAGUUUCAUUUUACACAACCUACGUGCCACCAUGCUUCUGUUAAAAUUAUAACAGAAAUGGUUACCUGGAUCAAUAUGUCUCAUAAGGUAAAUGAUUAAAGGUUAGAGCUUUCUCAAUGAACAAUCAUCAGCAGUUACAAAAAAUCUUUCAAAUUGCCAUCCUCGGUUCCCCCAUGCCUUGCAUUAGAUAUCACAAAAUGCAAGCCUACCUCCACGUCCUACCAAAAGAAAGGACAGCUUUCUUCUGUAUUCAAAAGAGAUCACAACCAAAAUGUACCUAAUCAAGGACAUGGCUAUUAAAAACCUUCAUAACCUACCGCGUCAUCAGGAUUGCAAACCCAGUUGAGCAUCCAAAGAAUGAAUUAUAGUUGAUAACCCUACAUGAAGUGAAAAUCCAUGUCAUUUUGAAAAGUUCGCAAAUAUCUUAUACAGCUAUUUGUCCCCUCCAGUGACCGUUAUGCAGUUGAGAUCAGUAGUUUAUUUACAAGUUCACCAGCACCACCAUCUCCUCUGCAAGAAUCCUUAAUGAGAGCUUCCCAUCCAUCAGAAUCCAAUAUCAUCUUUCUCUUCACCAUUUCCUCCAAGACAAAGCAGGCACCAGCAAUAUUUCCAGACUUUACCAGGCCAACAACCAAACAUUUAAAAGUUUCAAUGCGUGGAAAAUGCUUACUUGUCAACAUUGCAUUAAGAACCUUCAAACCACCCUCAAAAUCUCCAACCUGGCAAAAUCCAUCAACCAACAUUCUGUAAGUAGCGGCAUUAGCCUCACAACCUCCAAUUUGCAUUUCAAACAAAACCUUAUAAGCCUCUGCCGCUUUACCCUCUUUGCAAAGAUAAUUUAUCAAUAUAUUAUAAGUUACAACAUCCGGCUUGAACCGCCUCUUCUUCAUUUCAAGGAUCAAAGAUUUUGCCUCCUCAAUCCUCCCCCUCUUUCCAAGAUCAUUCAACAAGACGCCAAAAUUCACAAGUUUGGGCUUACAACUUCUGUAUUCCAUAUCAAACAGCAUCUUUUUGGCCUCCUUAUACUCACCAAUGGAGCACAAACCCUCCAUCAUCAAAGCAUAUGUCACCGCAUUCGGGUGUUUCCCUUUCUGAAUGAUGUUCUCAAACAAAUUCUUCGCUUUAUCUAAGUCACCAUUUCUACAAGAAUAUCGUAUAAGACUAUUAUAUGUCACCACAGUGGGUUCUACUUUCCUCUCAAGCAUUUCAUCAAAUACCUUGCAAGCUUGAUGCCAAUCACCCUUCUCCAGCCACCCUUUAAUCAUUAUAUUAAACGGAACCGAAUUCAAACGAAAACCCAUUUUAGCAGACCUAUCAAAUAACUCCUUCGCAUCAACUAAUCUAUCAUUAUCAACAAGAACAUUUAGCAAGGCAUUGAAAGAUAGCGCAGUGCGGACACAGUUAAAACCCGUCAUUCUAUUGAAAAGCUCAACGGCUUUAUCAACCAAUUGCACUUUUCCAUAAUGUUGAAACAAAGCGAUGAACAGCUUUUCUCCGCACCGAACAUUACUAUCCUGUAAAUAUCCCAGAACUGUUUCAACAGCCUCAAAAUUGCGAGAACGAGCAAGCUUGUAUACAAGAGCAGAGUAUGAAGGGUAAUCAUGCUUAAAACCCAUUUGGUGAUACUCGUGAAAGAGAGACAAGGCCUCAUCUGGGUCUUGUACUUCCUUCAAACUGGUCAUAAAAGGUAUGGAUCCGCGUCGUCUUCGUGUAAAAUUUUGAGGCUUCUGGUUAUUGCUGGGUUUGGAUUUAGGUUUGCUUAAACCCAGAGUUCUGUAAUGUUGAUAAUGUGAGAGAUUGAUAUAGCUACGAAAUUGUAUUGUUUUCCGUUUUGAAAGAAUCAUUGAAGCAGAUCAAAGUUU
rnacentral:misc_RNA from 1 species